CAUGUAUUUCUUUCUGAGAUUUCUGAAAUAUUUGGUUCCCUGACCGGGAAUCGGGAAUGAAAUAUCCCUUUUGAGCAUUAGCCUGAAUCCCACUGGAGGGAGUGGCUCUCCAUCUCCUCAAGAGGAAAGGCACACCCCUGGGACUAAUUUCCUAGGCUCCCCAACAGGACACACUUCCUGGCUGAGAUCACCCGAACCCAGGACGACAGAAGGAGGGCUGCUGCUGUUGGUGUCUCAUCUGUCUCUUUCCUUUGCUGGAUGGGAGCAGCUUCGUGGAAGAUGGAGUUUGUCAUGCUGGAUAUGAGGUAACCACAAAGAAUGAGGUGAUCCUAGCCGGAGCCCCUUCCUAGUUGGCACAGCAUGCUGAGCUCUGGGCACUCAUACAGGCACUCCGAUGGGCAAAGGGUAAAAAGAGGCUGGUGAGUCAACACACGACUGAAGAACGGAAGCACCAACAAGGAUGAUAUGGAUUAUUGUAUUGUGCCAGAUCACCACUGCUUUAAGUUUCUUUGUUUUCAAACUGCAGGUGUUUAGGCCUAGUGAUGAAGUUUGAUGAACAAUAUGUGACUUGUAAAAUGGGAACCAGAAGGCUAUCCAUUUACAAUAUUUGAUGCCUACCCCCAAAAAACAUUAUGGGGGACCUGGGGUAGCUUCUGACUUUGGGGGUAUUCUAAUGAGAAAUUAUAUUGCAAAGAGAAAACACAAGUUUGGAUCAAUGGCUCCCUUGUUGGAUGAGCCACUGGUAAUUGUGUAAACAAGGUCAAUGUAAUCCUAUAUCUAUGUAUAUGCCAGCCCCAUGGGAUCCUAUUUGGCUAAAAGGAGAAAUAUAUUUCAUUAGGACAAGAAAUUAGAAAAGAUCUUGAGGAAAUUCAAGAUGCACUUCAGGCUUUAGAAACCCAACUAGAUUCACUGGCCAAUGUCAUAUUACAGAAUAGGCAUGCUCUCAAUUUGCUAACAGCCCAGAAAGGAAGGACUUGCUUAUUUCUUGGUGAAGAGUGUUAUUAUUACACUAAUAAAUCUGGUAUAGUGUAGUACAAGAAUCACUAGACAAACUGAAAGAUCAGAUCAAGGCUCUUGAUAAGGAAUUUGGUAUAGGAGAGCUAUCCUAUGGGAUUAAUUUUACUUGGGCAGGAUGGAAAACUUGGACAGGACCUCUUCUGAGUCCCCUUCUUGUUAUAAUAUUAAUAUUAAUGUUUGGUCCUUGUGUCAUCCAAUGGAUUUCAAAAUUUAUACAGCAGCUCAUUGAUGCAGCUCAACACUACCAAAUGCUAGUGUUAAGAAAUGUAGAUAAACUGGAUAGAACUUAUAAUGGAUAGAAGAACUAUCCCAAAGUAAACACAGGGAGGAAUGAUAGGGAAAAGUUUUAGAUAACUUAGUAAAUUGAAUAUUAAGGUAGUUGUAGAAGCAAAAUAAGUAAUGUGUUCCUUUAAGAUUUGCUUGUCCUGUAACUCUCAUUGCUUAAGGUAAUCUGACUCUAACCAGUAACUUCAUUAACCUAACAAAGUUGCAUUGUGUGGCUGAAUUUACAAUGUAUAUGUGCCUAUCUUGUGUCUGUGACUUGUAAAUAGGAACUGGAAUUGUAUUUACACAUCAAAGACCACUAGGGAUGAGAUAAUGGCUAAAAAGGAUAUGAAAAGGGAAACACUGAACAAGGGCUCAGAUACUAACCAGACUGGUUUCUGGCGGUCCCGCCCACUUGCAAGUAGAACUUUUAUUAUUUUAUCCGAAUUGUGUCUCCGUGUAUUUCUUUCCAAGAUUUCUAGAACAGUUGCUGCUGACUCAAUUAGGAUAGUCCUAUUGGAAUAUUGUUGAGCCUACUUUAAGUGGAUCUUUCAUGCCAAGUGUUGAGUGAAUUUACCAAAUCAGUAAGUGAGGCUUCAGCGAGCUUACAGAGCAGGUUGUAUACACUUACCCUUGUGGUUAUUAAGAGUGUAAUCAUUAUGUGCUGCAAAAGUACUAAUAAAAAAUAAAAAUGGAAAAAAUGUUUUUUGAAAUCUGUAUGUGAGGGAGUUUGGUUUGAGUUUGAUUUCUUGGUAUAAAGAUUGUAGGAUCCUCAGACACUUCAAAAAUGUCAAGAAUUGUAAAAGCUGUGUAUGUUAGCUCAGGUCUGUUACAAAUACUAG
ensembl:lncRNA